GAUUAAAUGGGAGAAAGGUCCACGUGGGGUGGUCAAAAUUUAUCCGCGGAAAGGCGAUAUCUGGGCCUUGUACCGAAAUUGGUCCCCUGAUUGGAAUGGAGAUACUCCUGAUAAUGUGCUUCAUGUUUAUGAUCUGGUUGAGGUACAGGAUGAUUAUGAUGAAGAUAAUGGAAUUUCUGUCAUUCCCUUGAUUAAGCUCACUGGAUUUCGAACAGUUUUCCAGCAUCAUCAGGACCGGGAUGUCAUCAAGAGGAUUCCAAAAGGAGAGAUGUUUCGGUUUUCACAUCAGGUUCCCUUUUACAGGAUGUCAGGGGAAGAAGCUCCAAAUGUCCCCAAAGGUAGCUAUGAGGUAGAUCCAGCUGCUAUCUCUAAAGAACUUCUUCAGGGAAUCACAGAAACUGUGAAGGAGGCAGAGGGAACUUCUAAAUGCUGAUGCUGACUCGGUUAUGCCUUUGUUGACCUGCCGUUUUGAAUCAAAUAUUUGUUGACAUCUGCUAGUUUCUAUAGUUUCCUAGCCUUGACUAUCACCUUUGUAUACAGUUGUUGAUCUGGGGCUAGCCAUUCCUAAAUCAUCUUGUAUGGCAUCUGGGCAUGUGUCUUGUCAUCUCAAAACUUAAACAGUGAUGCUGAUAAUGUGAGUUAGAGACAUAGUCAUUUUGUAUGUCACAAAAACUUGGAAGUGCUGAUACUUCUACAAUAUGUUUUUCUAUCUCUAGCUGUAUGAGAAUGAAGAUUUUGCUAUUUUAUCU
rnacentral:lncRNA from 1 species